rnacentral:rRNA from 1 species
CCUACGGGAGGCAGCAGUGAGGACUAUUGGUCAAUGGACGAGAGUCUGAACCAGCCAAGUAGCGUGAAGGAUGACUGCCCUAUGGGUUGUAAACUUCUUUUAUAUGGGGAUAAAACAGGGUAUGCAUACCCUCUUGUAUGUAACAUAUGAAUAAGGAUCGGCUAGCUCCGUGCCAUCAGCCGCGGUAAUACGGAGGAUCCGAUCGUUAUCCGGAUUUAGUGGGUUUAAAGGGAGCGUAGGUGGAUUGUUAAGUCAGUUGUGAGAGUUUGCGGCUCAACCGUAAAAUUGAAGUUGAAACUGGCAGUCUUGAGUACAGUAGAGGUGGGCGGAAUUCGUGGUGUAGCGGUGAAAUGCUUAGAUAUCACGAAGAACUCCGAUUGCGAAGGCAGCUCACUGGACUGCAACUGACACUGAUGCUCGAAAGUGUGGGUAUCAAACAGGAUUAGAUACCCCAGUAGUC